rnacentral:misc_RNA from 1 species
UCCGAGUUGACCCCGGCAGUCUCCUAUGAGUCCCCACCAUAACGUGCUGGCAACAUAGGACGAGGGUUGCGCUCGUUGCGGCACUUAAGCCAACACCUCACGGCACGAGCUGACGACAGCCAUGCAGCACCUGUGUAGGGCCCCUUACGGAGCCCUGCUUUCACAGGGUUUAACCAGCAUGUCAAGCCCAGGUAAGGUUCUUCGCGUUGCAUCGAAUUAAGCCACAUGCUCCGCCGCUUGUGCGGGUCCCCGUCAAUUCCUUUGAGUUUUAGCCUUGCGGCCGUACUCCCCAGGCGGAGUGCUUAAUGCGUUAGCUGCGGCACUAAGAGCUCAAGGCUCCCAACGGCUAGUUGACAUCGUUUACGGCGUGGACUAC